rnacentral:rRNA from 1 species
UACGUAGGGCGCAAGCGUUAUCCGGAAUUAUUGGGCGUAAAGAGCUCGUAGGCGGUUUGUCGCGUCUGCCGUGAAAGUCCGGGGCUCAACUACGGGCUGGCGGUCGAUACGGGCAGGCUGGAGUUCGGUAGGGGAGACUGGAAUUCCUGGUGUAGCGGUGAAAUGCGCAGAUAUCAGGAGGAACACCGGUGGCGAAGGCGGGUCUCUGGGCCGAUACUGACGCUGAGGAGCGAAAGCGUGGGGAGCGAACAGG